rnacentral:rRNA from 1 species
CCUACGGGAGGCAGCAGUGAGGAAUAUUGGUCAAUGGGCGCGAGCCUGAACCAGCCAAGUAGCGUGAAGGAUGACUGCCCUACGGGUUGUAACCUUCUUUUAUAAAGGAAUAAAGUGAGGCACUUGUGCCUUUUUGUAUGUCCUUUAUGAAUAAGGAUCGGCAAACUCCGUGCCAGCAGCCGCGGUAAUACGGGGGAUCCGGGCGUUAUCCGGAUUUAUUGGGUUAAAGGGGAGCGUAGAUGGGUUGUUAAGUCAGUUGUGAAAGUUUGCGGCUUAACCAUAAAAUUGCAAUUGAUACUGCAGUCUUGAGUACAGUUGAGGUAGGCGGAAUUCGUGGUGUAGCGGUGAAAUGCGUAGAUAUCACGAAGAACUCCGAUUGCGAAGGCAGCUUACUAAACUGCCACUGACAUUGAUGCUCGAAAGUGUGGGUAUCAAACAGGAUUAGAUACCCCGGUAGUC